CCCUCCCGGCCGCCCCCGCCCGGCGCGUCACGGCGGAGCCGGCAACGGCGGCAACGGCGGCGGCGGUGGGUGCGCUCCGUUCCGCUCCCGCCAUGGCGGCCCGCCGGCACCGGGCCUUACUGGUCCUCGGCCUGGCUUUGGUGGUCGCCACCGCCGCCGCCGCCGUCGCCGUCGCCGCCGCUACCGAUCCUUUCUCGCCCCAGCUGGGAGAUACCGCCGGUUGCCGCGGGCAGUGCGGCCGCAGCCUGCCCCGCCGAACCGCCGCCGAUGCUGUUCUCAACGCCUGUUACCGGGGCUGCCGGCUGUUCUCCAUCUGUCACUUCGUGGAUGCGAGCGCCGAGCUGAACACAACCCGAGCUGAGUGUGAAGCAGCGUGCGCCGAAGCCUACAGCAACGCAGAGGAGCAGUUUGGCUGCGUGACGGGGUGCCGCAAGCAGCUGCCCGAGGUGGAGAGCAGGAAGGAGAAGAGCCUGGAACUGAAGGCGCCGUCGUUCUCCAUGUUCGAUUUGGUCUCCACCUUCUGCAACGACAUCGUCAGCUCUGCCCAGAGCUUCAUCUCCUCCACCUGGACCUUCUACCUGCAGGCAGAUGAUGGCAAAGUCGUGGUGUUUCAGUCCCAGCCGGAGAUGGAGUAUCCAGUACUCGAGGCACUGGAGACCCAGCCGGAGCGGCCGGUGCGGCCGGGACCGGGGUCCAGCCCCCGCGUCUCCCAGCCCCACACAGGCCCCCGGGCGAAGGGGGAGAAGCCCCCCGUGAAGGAGCCACGAGGCAAAGGCAAGGUGCAGCACCCGGACCCCCCGCAGCCAGAGCACGACUUCCUCGGCUGCAUGUCCAAGGGGUGGUGGGGUGUUACAGGCGCUCGGGCCUUCCUCGCUGGAUCCUGGCUGCCUGCCUCUUCCUCUCCAUCAUGGUGAUGCUGUGGCUGAGCUGUGCCAGUUUGGUGACUGCUCCUGAGCAGCACGUCAAGACCCAGCCUCUGAGCAUCAACGGAGACAAGGAGUACCUGGAAGACCUGGAUGGCCCCGGCGCUUUCCCCCUGCCGCCCGUCAUCGCCGUCACCCUGUGCCCCACGCGCGGCGGCGAGGACGCGGGGCCGCUGCCCCUCAAGGUCGACCUGGGCAAGACCAUCCUGUAGUGCUCCCACCCUUCCCAUCACCACCACAUCACCUCCCUGUUUCCAUCCCCAGGACAUCGUCCCCGGUCCCAUUCUGUGGCCCCUCCAGCUCCCCCGUGUCCCCGGCUCCUGGAGGGGCAGCUCUGGCUCUGGCUUGGUCCCGCUCUCCUCCCCAGGGAUGGCCGCUGCAAAGGAGGCUCCCAGGAGCCGGGCAGCGGCUUUGCCUCCUCCGUAGAUGUGCUCUUUGCUGGGAUCUUGGUUUCCAGUGCUCGAGAGCCAAGAGAGGAGCUGCCAGAGCGGGGAGGCCGGGGGGAGCCCGUCCUCGUAGCGAGGCGGUCCGUCUCUUCCCGACCGGAGCCCCCGGGGCCCCGCAGCCCUCCGGGCAUGGGUCCAGCGCUGGGCAGGAGGGAGCCGGCUGCGGUGGGGGAUGGAGAGUGUCUGCAGCGUUCUGGGCUUUGGCUCGGCACAUCCCCGGCCUCCCACCUUGGGCUGAGCCUCCAAGGCGCCGUCUCCGGCCCUGGGAACUCCCUUCCGCCGGCCGGAGCCGAUUGCCUUGGGGAGCCGAAACGUGGCGAAUGGAUUUGGCGUUGGCAGCCGGAGAGAGGAGCGGAUCUUGCCGCCUCCGUGCCCACGCGAGGACCCAGCCGGCCCCUUCCCGGAGCUGCGGAGGGGCCCCGGGAUGGCUCCUUCCCCUCCCUGAUGCCUUUGGGGCGGCUGGCCCCGAUGCCGACGGGUCGCUGGUGGGACUGAGCAGGGGACGAGGUGACAUUUCCCUGCCUCGUGCUGCUGUGGCACGUCCGAGCUCGGGCAGGAGGUGGGAGCUGCCGGGAUGCCUCCGUCCUGGGCUCAGCAUCCCUGCCCGAUGCCGGGAGCAGCUCAGCCUGCGGGGCUGUAGCUGAUGGCAGGACCUAGCGGCAGCCGGCCUCCGGGUCCCCUGGCUCACAGCACUGCCCUGGAAGCAGGGGGCUAGUCCCGGGGUCUCCUGGUCAAGCGGGAACCCCUCGGCUCGCCCCGGCACAGCCCCUCGGCACGGAGGGGUCCCCUUCCCUCCCCCUGCUCCGCAGGGCUCUGCUCCCACAGCCGGGCUCGGUGCGAGCCGAGGCAUCUCCCCAUCUCCCCGCCGUUCUCCAUCACUUGACUUCGUGCAUCAUUUCGUGGUUUGAUUUGCAUCGGCAUGUGGUUCGUCAGCCCCUGGUGCCCCAUGGGGACACCCCUGCACUUGGGAGGGACGGCUCGGCGGCGGCGGUCCCUGCCAUCCCCGCGUCCACCUAACACGUCUGUACAGAUUAACUUAUUACCCGCAACUCCCCACCCUUGGGUUUUUAGGCUCUCUCCGUGUGCCGGCUGCUCCCCAGCGCUGAGCGGUCUCGGGGGGCCGUGGCGUGGUGGGGCGGGGGGCUCUCGUCCCCAUCCCCACAGGUUUUGUGCUGCUCCGUAUCACUUUCACCCGUGCAACAUAUCUGGAUUUGGGGAACUGGGUUGGGGAGGGGGUGGGGGUGUUGUGUCCGUUUUGGGGUACACUUUUUGUUGUCGCUUUUUGGCCGCUCGGCUCAGUGUAAAGCUCGGUGGAGUCUGUGGUGUUGUCCCAGCCACGGCAGCUCUCCCCAUCCCCGGGGUGCAACCGCACCGGGCCAUGAGCUUGGGGGAGAGGGUGGCCGCGGAGGCCCCCCCAGCUUUGCUUCCAAAGGGCAAACCCAGCCCCAAGCUGGCUGGGCGGUGCGGGCGGAGGGGAAAUAAAAGGUUUGUACCAGA